rnacentral:rRNA from 1 species
AACGAACGCUGGCGGCAUGCCUAACACAUGCAAGUCGAACGGGAUCCUGGCUUCGGCCAGGUGAGAGUGGCGGACGGGUGAGUAACGCGUGGGAACCUGCCCAAUGGUCUGGGAUAACCGCGGGAAACUGCGGCUAAUACCGGAUAAGCCCGAGAGGGGAAAGAUUUAUCGCCGAUGGAGGGGCCCGCGUCCGAUUAGGUAGUUGGUGAGGUAACGGCUCACCAAGCCGACGAUCGGUAGCUGGUCUGAGAGGAUGAUCAGCCACACUGGGACUGAGAUACGGCCCAGACUCCUACGGGAGGCAGCAGUGGGGAAUAUUGGACAAUGGGGGCAAGCCCAUGCAUCCACGCAAUGCCGCGUGAGUGAUGAAGGCCUUAGGGUUGU